GCCUAGUUCGUCUAAUGGUAAGACAAGAGCUUCCAAACCUCUUGACGUGGGUUCGAUUCCUACACUGGGUG
rnacentral:tRNA from 1 species